rnacentral:rRNA from 1 species
AAGCAAGCAAGAACCAUGAACUUGCAGGCAGUGCACUGCUUUAACCUGGAAAUGUUGGCUACGCGAGUCUGGCGCCUAAUUGAUGAGACAGAAUCACUUUGUGCAAGAGUGCUACGAGCAAAAUAUUAUCCUUCAGGUGACAAUAUGAUUGCAGAUCCAAGAAAAGGAACAGCUUUUACAUGGCAGAGUAUAGUUGCUGGAAUUCAAACUUUUAAACGGUCAGUCUGGAGGAUUGGUAAUGGAGAGAAGGUUAAUAUUUGGGAGGACCACUGGAUCCCAUCGAGCCCCUCACUGAAAAUCUUACCUCAGAGGGGAGGUGCUUUUAUUACAAGGGUGAAUGAAUUGAUUAAUCCUAUCACUGAACAAUGGGAUGAAGAAAUGAUACGGGGUAUUUUUAAUCCGACUGAUGCAAUACGUAUUCUUCGGAUCCCGUUCAGUCAUAAUGCUUCCGAGGACUUUAUUGCCUGGCAGUGA